rnacentral:rRNA from 1 species
GUCCACGCCGUAACUAUGGAUGCUAGCCGUCGGAUAGCUUGCUAUUCGGUGGCGCAGCUAACGCAUUAAGCAUCCCGCCUGGGAGUACGGCCGCAAGGUUAAACUCAAAGGAAUUGACGGGGGCCCGCACAAGCGGUGGAGCAUGUGGUUUAAUUCGACGCAACGCGAAGAACCUUACCAGCUCUUGACAUGUCCGGACGGUUUCCAGAGAUGGGAUCCUCCUAGCAAUAGGCCGGAACACAGGUGCUGCAUGGCUGUCGU